UACGUAGGGUGCAAGCGUUAAUCGGAAGUACUGGGCGUAAAGCGUGCGCAGGCGGUUGUGCAAGACAGAUGUGAAAUCCCCGGGCUCAACCUGGGAAUUGCAUUUGUGACUGCACGGCUAGAGUGUGUCAGAGGGGGGUAGAAUUCCACGUGUAGCAGUGAAAUGCGUAGAGAUGUGGAGGAAUACCGAUGGCGAAGGCAGCCCCCUGGGAUAACACUGACGCUCAUGCACGAAAGCGUGGGGAGCAAACA
rnacentral:rRNA from 1 species